GUAGGUGGCAAGCGUUGUCCCGAAUUAUUGGGCGUAAAGCGCGCGCAGGCGGUUCUUUAAGUCUGAUGUGAAAGCCCACGGGCUCAACCGUGGAGGGUCAUUGGAAACUGGAGAACUUGAGUACAGAAGAGGAAAGCGGAAUUCCACGUGUAGCGGUGAAAUGCGUAGAGAUGUGGAGGAACACCAGUGGCGAAGGCGGCUUUCUGGUCUGUAACUGACGCUGAGGCGCGAAAGCGUGGGGAGCAAACAGGAUUAGAUACCCUGGUAGUCCACGCCGUAAACGAUGAGUGCUAAGUGUUAGGGGGUUUCCGCCCCUUAGUGCUGCAGCUAACGCAUUAAGCACUCCGCCUGGGGAGUACGGCCGCAAAGGCUG
rnacentral:rRNA from 1 species